GACUCAAUGAAGCAGAAAAACAAUGUUAGUCUUUGGUGGCCAGGGAAAAGGAGGAAAGCUCGUGGUGGUCUCCAGAUGAUCUGGCCCUGACUGAAGCAAAUCUCCUUCCACAAGGAGGGAGCAAAGGCCUGGCAAGUGCAGGUUUUAUUUCCAAGUGUUGCAAGGGAAUGUCAUAGAGAGAAUUUGGUUCCUAAGCAGCCCUGUUAUCAAUGAGCAGCUAAGAAAACACAUUAGGAACUUAAAGAUAUUAAAUGCAUCAGGAAGAAGAAAAAAAUUGAUUGUGAUAUUUCAAUCAGAAUUUUAAUUCCUGGUUUUGACAUUGCCAGGGUUUCCAUUUCAUGUCAAAAUGGUGCACAUUAGAAUAAAAGCCCUGGGAGAAGGAAGAAAGAUGUAAGCUACAAACACUGAAGGUGAUGCUGUCACAGAGUCAGGCCCAAUAUCCACUUCAGCCCUAACCUAAAACCACCAAGAGUUAAAACUUGGGAAGAGUCAGACCAUCGACAGUAAAGGGAGCUGUGCUUUCCAGGAGUGCCUACACCACUCAAAGCCAGGACUUUGCUUCAAAUCCCAUCCCUCACUUUUGGGAUAUAAAGGGGCUGCUCCAAGGCCAUGGAUCAAGGACUGAGCAAGUCCAGGUCACAGUUUUGAAUGUUCCUGCUCAGGACAUGCUAAAGAAUCUAAAAGUUCAGCAAAGUGGCUGCACAUUGGGGCAUGAAAGUGCACUUACAGGAUUAUUUUUUGCAUUGAAGAGAAAUCAAGCAUUUUCUUCUGUAUAA
rnacentral:lncRNA from 1 species